UAGUCUGGGAAACUGCCCGAUGGAGGGGGAUAACUACUGGAAACGGUAGCUAAUACCGCAUAACGUCGCAAGACCAAAGAGGGGGACCUUAGGGCCUCUUGCCAUCGGAUGUGCCCAGAUGGGAUUAGCUAGUAGGUGGGGUAAUGGCUCACCUAGGCGACGAUCCCUAGCUGGUCUGAGAGGAUGACCAGCCACACUGGAACUGAGACACGGUCCAG
rnacentral:rRNA from 1 species